CGACAUUUUAAAUUAUGACAUAAAAGUAGAGUCGAAAUGAUUCAAAAAUCAAAAUGCUCACCUGAGCGUGCCAGGGGGCUGAACCAGGUGGCCUCUGUAAGUGGCCCUAUGAACUGUAUGGACACACAGUCUCUGAAAUCGUGUGUGUCAUGAGUGAAGAUUAUGUGCCCGAGUAAGCUGUUGUUCGGAGGCUGCUGCAGUAUGCAGAAAGCCGUAGCAACAGAUGUUCCCUCGGCUGUCUGCUCUGGCACCUAUAUAAAUACAGCCUGAGAGGCAGUAAAGAAGGUUCACUUCGCACUCAGCCACUGUAAGAUCCACGUCUGUUAAAUGUCAGAUCAUGCUCUGCCUUGGAUGACAUCAGAGCUGGACUGUAUCAGAUCGUGUAUUUGCAGUAAAAAUGGGUAGUGAACUCACAAGGACUGUACACCUUACUGGAUUGCUAAGGAUUCACCAAAGACUGUUUGUGUGCUGUCUGUGAGAAUUAUAAAUCUGCAUUGCAAGUGGCAACUAUUAUUUCCACUUCUAUGGCGAACAUUAAUU